rnacentral:lncRNA from 1 species
UGCAAACCUCUCUGUGAGACUAACUCAUUAUAGGCAGACAAAUCCUAACUAGCAUCUAACACAGCUGUACAGGGCCCAUCAGAUGAGCAGGAUGGAUCUUUCUCAUGAAAACUAAACCAGCUUGUACAUAAUAGCUAGUACAGAACAUGUGCGUGUUUGAACAGAAGAGUGAGUCUAGGUGAGAGAGAAUUGACCGGGCACUCAAAUCAACAGUUCUUCUCCGAGCAGGAGCCUGAAGAGUGGGAGUGUAAGAUGAGAGGGCAUACUUCAGUGAAGAGCAGUGCCCUGGGAAAAGGGCAAGACGUAUGGACAGUAGUCUCUGCUUGAGGAACACUACUGCAACCUGCUGAGGAUCUGCUGGUAUGUGAUACAAAUGAUUGUGUAAUCCUUUCAUGAACUAGGUCUUGGAACUGGGAUAGAGGAUAUAAAUGAUUGCAGAAUUCUUUUCCUAAAAUGUGCUGUUGCAUGCAAACGUCACCGAGUUGAUGAAUAUGUAUUAAAGCCAUGAAGUCACUGGCAAAGCCCCAAGAAGGGCAGGCUAGCUCUCCUCUUGGAGCUAGCUCACUCCAGCUACUUUCAUUUCAUUCUUGCAUUGAAAAUUUCUCCAGGCUGCAACACCACACACUACCAACUGACAGAGAGCUGUUCCAGAGCUGCAAGCCAGGAGCAGGAUGCUCAUUAAGAGGUGGUCAUCAAACACUUUCUCAUCAAUCUCUGCAGGGCUUUUUUUUCUCAAAUACAUUGAUAAUAGGUUGCCUAUAGUAGGUUGCAUACUGAUCAGUAUGGUUCUGGCUUGCAUUUGUGAAUUUUUCUGUCCAAUAUCUCUAUAUUGGAGAGAAGCACUUGUGAAGCAUUCCUCCAUUCUUCCUUUGUUUACCAAGGGAAGAAGAAUGCUUUAUUAUUGUAUUUUCCAUCUGGGCUCUUCCCUGUUUGGGUACCAGUCCAUAAGUGAACGUCUCCCACUUAUAAUAAAUUCUGAAUGAUAUCUGUGAAAUACUGAAUUAAUAUCAUUUAUAUAAGAACAUAAUUUUGUUAGUACACAUUUUUACAUAUUUCAUGUUACCUAAACAGCACUCUUUUACCUCAGUCAUUGACAAUGGCAAACAAUACUACUGGUACCAAUGACAGCUUCUGGACCUGUUCUGGUGGCUAAUACUUUGGAGAAGUGUGUGCUGCAUAGAUUAACAAAUAUUGUAUUUUGUUUUGCAGUACAUAUAGUAUUCUAUGCUGUUAUGAUGUAAUUAGAAUGGUUAUAUUUGAAAAUAGGAGAACCGCAGAAACACCAUGGGAUAACAAAAGGCAUUAGUAGGAGGAACAAAGUUAGAUUACAUACUCAUUUGAUUUAUAUUAUCGUUAUUUUACCCUUAUGAUCAAAUGAAGAUAUUUGUAGACUCCAAGUAAUUGUGGCUAAUCUUAAUUUCCUCUCAUUCUCCUUCGUGGAUUCCAUGGUCUCAUCCCACUCACUGUGAAAUCAUCCAGUAUUUUCAUUAAAAGAAUAUUUUUUUCCUCUACUGGCUGAUACUCUGUUAUGAAAUUUAACCCACUUGGAUUUGCAAGGAGAACAUCUCAGUUUUCCAGUCCCAAAAUAAGUACUUUUGUGCCAGAGUCAACAGGAAAAGAAGACUUAGAGCAUCCAACUGACUUAGUUUCACAUUUCCCUGAUGCCCAAACAAUUGGAAAGCAGCAGGACCAAAACAUUUCAUAAAUUUCUUCCUAGGUGGUACAGACAAUAAGACAGGAUGUUUGGAUCUUUGGCCAGUCCCUACAGGAAUAUUACAACACACAGAUACUUUGUGAAUACUACACGCACAUUUGAGGCACAUUAAAACUUAACUGGACAACAUAUUAGCAAGUACACUUUAGGGAACAGUUUUGAUCUGUCAUGCAGUUGAACUGCACGAUGUAGUAGGUAUUAACACUUUCUUGUUGAGCAGCCCUGCACGUGGUGCAUCUGUUUCCUCCACCAACUUUUUUCAAUUGUCUUAGGUUGUGAAACAGGUAACCCUGUUUUUUUUCAUUGCUUUCAAUAUGAUAAUAAUAAUUGCCAAAAUAAAAAAAAGUAAAAAAAAUUCUUAGCAAGAGAGGCAGUUAAACAUAGAAAGAAAACACCAGUGGAUGACAGUGAUUUCAGUAUCAAUUCUGAGGAAAUUUAGAAAAAAAAAAAAACAAAACAACUCAGUUUGUUCAUCUAUAUUAUUCACAUAUGGUUAAAAGAAUUUUACAUUUGUGUUUCUUUUCUUUUUUCUUUUCUUUUCUUUUUUUUUUUUGUAAUUAAAAGCUAAAUAUUUCUCAGUAUCCUAUUUCUAUUUUAUAUACUAAAUAGACUUUUCUUUAGUUAUUAUUAAUCCUCAUGCUACUCUAGAAAUCUCUUUCUGCCAGGCAUUAUUACAGAUAUGAAAAACAUGUCCUAUCC